rfam:Acidobacteria bacterium 13_1_40CM_4_69_4 13_1_40cm_4_scaffold_4122, whole genome shotgun sequence.
AGUUGCUCGGGCCAAACCACUCGCGAGGGUGGGACGGAAAGCCGCGGGUCUCUCAGAGACGGCCGGGUUGCCAAC